rnacentral:rRNA from 1 species
GACGAACGCUGGCGGCGUGCUUAACACAUGCAAGUCGAACGGAAAGGCCCUGCUUUCGGGGUACUCGCGUGUCGAACGGGUGAGUAACACGUGGGUGAUCUGCCCUGCACUUCUGGAUAUGCUUGGGGAACUGUGUCUAUUACCGGAUAUGAGCCCUCUUUAGGCUUGUGGUUGGAAGGUUUUUUCGGUGUAGGAUGAGCUCGCGGCCUAUCAGCUUGUUGGUGGGGUAAUGGGCUACCAAGGCGGCGACGGGUAGCCGGCCUGAGAGGGUGUACGGCCACAGUGGGACUGAGAUACGGCCCAGACUCCUACGGGAGGCAGCAGUGGGGAAUAUUGCACAAUGGGCGCAAGCCUGAUGCAGCGACGCCGCGGGGGGGAUGAAGGGCUUCGGGUUGUAAACUCCUUUCGCUAGGGACGAAGCUUUUUGUGACGGUACCUAGAGAAGAAGCACCGGCUAACUACGUG